CUUGCUCCCUGAGAUUAGCGGCGGACGGGUGAGUAACACGUGGGCAACCUGCCUAUAAGACUGGGAUAACUUCGGGAAACCGGAGCUAAUACCGGAUACGUUCUUUUCUCGCAUGAGAGAAGAUGGAAAGACGGUUUACGCUGUCACUUAUAGAUGGGCCCGCGGCGCAUUAGCUAGUUGGUGAGGUAAUGGCUCACCAAGGCGACGAUGCGUAGCCGACCUGAGAGGGUGAUCGGCCACACUGGGACUGAGACACGGCCCAGACUCCUACGGGAGGCAGCAGUAGGGAAUCUUCCGCAAUGGACGAAAGUCUGACGGAGCAACGCCGCGUGAACGAAGAAGGCCUUCGGGUCGUAAAGUUCUGUUGUUAGGGAAGAACAAGUACCAGAGUAACUGCUGGUACCUUGACGGUACCUAACCAGAAAGCCACGGCUAACUACGUGCCAGCAGCCGCGGUAAUACGUAGGUGGCAAGCGUUGUCCGGAAUUAUUGGGCGUAAAGCGCGCGCAGGUGGUUCCUUAAGUCUGAUGUGAAAGCCCACGGCUCAACCGUGGAGGGUC
rnacentral:rRNA from 2 species